AGGUUGGUCAACGGAGGUUGGCCCGAAGAAGGAACCCGGUUGGAGUCCGGGGCUUUGCCAGAAGCUGUAAUUCGUGUUGAAAGUAUCUAGAUCCACUGCGGAAGCGGGAAGGUUGAUAUGGGAGCGAAGAGCCAGAAGACUUGGCCUGCAA
rnacentral:ncRNA from 1 species